rnacentral:rRNA from 1 species
CGGGUGCGUAACACGUAGGUAAUUUGCCCCCUGGUGAGGAAUAACACGGCGAAAGCCAUGCUAAUGCCACAUAUGGCCUAAGGGUCAAAGCAGCAAUGCGCCAGAGGAUGAGCCUGCGGCCCAUUAUUUAAUCCUAGUUGGCGGGGUAACGGCCCACCAAGGGUACGAUGGGUAGCUGGUCUGAGAGGACGAUCAGCCACACUGGGACUGAGACACGGCCCAGACUCCUACGGGAGGCAGCAGUGGGGAAUAUUGCGCAAUGGGCGAAAGCCUGACGCAGCCAAUCCGCGUGGGUGACGAAGGCCUUCGGGUUGUAAAACCCUGUCGUGAGGGACGGAAUCAAUGACGGUACCUCACAGAAAGCACCGGCUAACCCGUGCCAGCAGCCGCGGUAAUACGGGGGUGGCAAGCGUUGCUCGGAAUCACUGGGCGUAAAGCGUCCGCAGGCGGACGCGUAAGUCGGUGGUG